ensembl:lncRNA
UGGGUAGUGAAGCAGGGUAAGUUCAACAAUGCUCUCCCUUCAGCUCCUUUUGCCUUCUCAGUUUGUCUUGCUGCCUGUCUUACCUGGCUGCCAGCUUUGAGCCUUCCCCUCUAGCAGCAGAGCAAAGAAGCCCCGUCUUCCAGGGACAAGCUAUGCCUCAGCCCAUCUGCUUGCUUCUCCAAAGCACCACCCAAUAUCUGGCUGACCACACCCAGGCUUGACUUAAGAUGGGCAGAAAGGAACGAGGAAAAAUUUCCAGGUUCUCCAUGUGUCACUAUCCAUUGCUGACUCAUACCACAUUAUGCUUUUUUAACUACCAUGAUUGAGUUAUCCAUUAACAAUGGCAAAGGAAAAUUAAUUCCUGCCUGGGUAAGUCUGAUGAUCAGAGCUUUGAGCAAAGAAAAAGUAAAACAAAAGUCAGUUGUAGACAAGGAAGAAUGGUUUCUGUAGGGUUUAAAAUAUCCCAUUCCCUGAAUGCUGGGGAACCAAGUAGUGCUGUGUGGUUGAUGUGCAGUCUUGGUUUGCGAGCUUCUUGGGAAUGCUGGUCUCCAACGUGCUGUUAUAGGCCAGAACAGACUGUGUCUGAAGCUCUGUGUUGGUUUUCUCCUCCGGAGACCAUGAAGAACCCAAGUUGGUUUUCUUUAAGGAACUUGUCAUGAUCCAAGUAGGAAUAUCAUGGCAGCAGAGAACUGAAGCGCUGAGCCUGUAGCUCACUGAUCAGGUACUAGAAGUUGGGAGUACAGCAAACUGGCUAAAAUGCAGUUAUUUUCAGGAAAAUAGCCUCACUGAAGUACUGUUGGUUUUUGUUGUUUCUUUUUUUAAUCAGUACAUUUGACCCAUAUGAACAAUAAUGUGUGCAGGAGAGCGAGACUUUUUGUUAUGAGACAGAGCAAAGCUUCUGAGAGAUGAAUGCACGAUGGCAUUGGCCGCUGAUCCAAGUUAAGCAGCCUGACUCUCCUACCAGGAAAUACUUAGCAGAUGUCAGUUUCCCUGCUCUGUGAGGUUUUUGAGGAGACAGCAGUCCGUGAUUCACAGCAGGUGAGUGCCUUUCCAAAGAAAGGUGAGAAUGUGCUGCUGAAAGAUGUCAUUAUUGCUCUCAAAAACCAGAACGGAAAUGUAUCGUUUUAUCUUACUUUCCUAGAGAAACAAAACAGGACAAGUGUAGCAAUUAAUGAAAAAGAGAAUUGUAGUGCAAACCCAGAUUCUUAAUAUACUGAUAAGUGCAUAUUAAUCUCAGCAAUUAGCCAUGAGCUGCUAUUUUCCUUCCGUGUGCAGCUCUCUCUGAAAUUGUAGUGAUGUUAGUAAUGUAUACAAAACUGAUAAUCUGCUUCUCUAGGCUUGUUUAAGACAAAAAGACAUAAUCACCAAACCCCAUGUCUUAAUGUACCAAUUUUUGUUGACAUACAAGCUAACAGAACUGACAUGAACAUCUUCUAUAAUACAGCCUGCAUUCAGCCAACAGAGUCACAGAACGAAAGAGUAGGAGGCACCCUUUGAUCAGAUAGUUUGAAUGCUUUCCUAUUAAAACCAUUGCACUUUACCUGCUUUAUUUAUUGCCAGGCCUGGUAGCUUAUGUGUGACAGCAGUGGAUUCCCAGUAAGGCAUCAGACCUUCAUCUGGAGACUGGGGAGGAGAAUGCUGGGAUGGGGAAUUGUUUCAUUCAGCUCUUUGCUCCAGGUGUGAAGAGUCCUUUUCAUUACAGAUCCAUACAACUUACUUUGGCUUCCACUGCAGGCUUUAUAGAGAGGACAAGGAGCAGUUUAAUCUGGUUCACGAAGAGCACAGAUACCUGCUCUGAGUUCACUGUUGCUUUGACAGGGAAACUGUGACUGUGCUAUAAAAACAUCUGCAGCUCUGAAUUUUGUCUCCUCUGUCAGUAAUAUUUCUCUGAUGAGAAUUAGCAAAGGCAAAUCUGGAAGGAUGAAGAACCAGAGAGGAAAGGCAGAAAACUAGCAAUGGAGAGACAUAUAUGUCGCAUGACUCUUCUCUGGUAGGAAAGAUCUUGCACACAUACACAAAAGAAAAUCAAGUCUUCCUGUAAGUAUCGCAAUCUCUUUAAUUCUUUUCCCUAGUACUUGACAUAAUCUUUAUGUGUUUAAAAAUUAAAUGCGAAGUUGCAGGAAGGACUGCACAGUGGCUCCUCUGGGCCUGAAUCCAUUCUUUAUUGGGGCCUUCCCCUCUUUUUGCCAUCCUUUGUUUGCUCUGGUAAAACGAGCAAUUGUGUGGGACAUGAGCACAGUCCAGACCUCAUUCAAGUCUCCGUUUGUUCCCUGAAUGACCUGGCUGUGCAGAUCUCACUCUGCUCACGUCAGUGCAGAGGAAAAAGCUCCAGUCUUGAAGUGUAAGCACAAGGGAGAGAACUGAGUUUUCCCAUGCGUUGUUGCUGCCAUUGCGUCAUUCCAAGCUCAGGAUUUGGUGUCUCAGAAAAGAUAUCUUGUCAUUGUCUAUGUUCUUUCAAAUUUGAUCACUUUAACUUCCCCAACAGCAAAGGUUCUCUUUGAAAUCCUCAAUGUCCAUUUAUUGUUCUUGCUUCACAUUUGAAAUCAAGCAGGCAUGAAACAAAUUUAAUGUAGCUCCAACCUUCUUCCACCCAGCUUGGUAAACUGGUAUUGAUCCAUCUAAUGCAUCUAACAGGGACCAAACGGGCUGCACAAGGAGAUAUUUUCAUUCCGUUGUGUGAUUUUUUUCAGCACAAUGGAUUGGUUUCCUUUGGAAAGUUUGCUCCAGAUUGUAUACUGGAAGGUAUGAAUAUCAUUCAAUGUAGUAAAAGGAGGGAUGACCUCUUACAGAGUUCAUCACUGGGAUUUGCUCUGGAAAAAAGUCUGGAGAGGGUUUGGAGGAAGCUGACCCAGCAGCCACUCCCAGCACCAACCACUGACCAAGAGAUGCCUCUAUGAAGCCUAAUUCCUCACCUGGAGGAGAAGGGUGAGAACUCCCAUAUGACCAGCCCUGCACAGCACCAUGCGUUCUUCCACCCUUCCAGCUCAAAUAGGGUGACCUACAAAUACACCUAUUUUCCUUUCUUCAGUAAUUAAUCCAAGAGAAGUAACUAUCCGGAGCAGCAAACUGAGCACACCGUGAUGGUAAGUCUUUACCACUUGUUCUGAUUUCAUUAUUCCCUCUGUCUUUUCAAGUCGGUCACAUUGUUAUUUUGCUGUCGGGGAGCCUUGCUCCAUUUUGAGUUUUGUUCUGCUCAGGCUCUUCCAUUCAGACUGUCAUAACCUGCUUGUGCCACAAAGCAUUAUUUCAUUUUAUCUGGAGGCAGCUGGACUGACAAUACAGUUACGCCAUUUCAGGAAGCUUUUAGAGAUCUGCAGUGUCAAGAAAGAACAAUUUGCGUUAUCUUCUUUAUUGUGUCUAUUACUUCUUCAAAAAAACAUCAUUUAACGUGCAAAUGGCAAAUAGAAGCAUUCUUGAAAUUUAUACUUGGUGCAGAUUUUAUGUCCUCUUCCUUCAAUCAUUGCUGAAAUUAGAAGGUUAAAAACAUUUUUGGAUGAUAAAGACCUGGCUGAGACUGAAGAUAAUUCCUACUUUUGUCCUUUUUCUUCAAGGAACUUAUUUAUUAAAGAAAAGAGUCAAUUUUUAAGUAGAAAAUGAACUGAUUUAGAAAUGUUAUCCGUAUGAAUUGCAUUUAAUUUUGUUACUGUUUAAUAUAUAAAACAUUUUGAAGUACCCUUUUCAGUGCUCACAAGUGUGUAUACUCCUACGUAAAGAGAUGAGAUUAGACUGCUCUUGAAGUAAACUGACACGUUCCAGUCUCUGACUUGAAGUGUGACUCCUGUACGGUACGCUAUUGCAUGUCGUGCCCUCAGCUGAUCUUCACAGAAAUGCCAGCUGAAGUAUUGCUGAGCCUAUGGAAAUAGGAACAAGAGUUUCCAGUGUGAUUCCACCAAUGUUUUAGCUGUUAGGAUAGGACUUUUGUGUCUGCGAAUUGCAGUCUACGUGGAAGUGACUGAUGUUUUCUGUCAUACUCCGAUGAGUGUUUAAAAUAUUAAUGAUGCAUUCGGAUUAAGGAAAAAAAGUCCUCCCAGCUGAUCUGGCCACUCCCUUACUCAAAGGACACUUCUCCAUGUGGUUGCUUCUCUACUAAUUGCAUACAGCAAAACGACCGGCUACAUCAGUUUGCACAUGGGGCCAAAAAGAAACUCACGUCUGUAGAAUGAGAGUAGGAUCUGCUAUGGAAAUCUCUAUGAAUGUGCAAGCACUAACGGCAGAAGCCACAAUUAAUUCCCCUUUUAAUUAAAAUACUCAACAUUAUAAUAAAAAGAUUAUUUCCUCACUUACUCUGCAGUUUUAGAGUCCAAGUAAACCAGCACAAUGCUUUUAUGGUGAUGCACGCAUUGCUCAUGGAGAAACACUGCAUCUACUCACUGCUUUGGGAGUUCGUAUCUCACUGGGAAAAAAAAAAAAAAAAAAAAAAAAGACUUGAAAGAUGUGACCCCAACUGCUUUCAGCAGCUAAAUCAAGAACUGUUGGUUCUUCACACUUUCUCUUGACCAUUCAGAACAUGAAACGUCCCUAUGCUGGAAUCAAACGCGAUGUGCACACACUGCCCUUAUACACCUCGUCUUUUCUAUAAUUUGAAUGAAGCAUGGAAUUUUAAAAUAGCAUUCAGAGCAUCUGUGCAAAAAUAAUGUAAAUACUGUCAUUCUUAUCCAGUCCAAAGGAGUUAGUCAAGGGCAAGAUGGGAUACCAUCACGUGCAGAUCACUGCAUGGCCACAGCGUUAGGAGAAUAGAAAUGCAAUUGUACUGCUCAUGUUCCGGCUACAUGGCUUAAGCUACAAGGCAGUUUGUAACACACGGGAUGGAGGACUUGCAUUCAUCUCAGAGAUCCACAUCCUCAAACCUGCACAUGUGUAGUUUGGCUGUGAACCAGGAACAGAGAAUAAAUUCCAAAAUUAAAAAUAAUAAAAAAAAAAUCACACUCUUUCCCCCCCCUUUUUUUUAAAUAUCACUUUG